CGCCCGUCAAACUAUGGGAGCUGGUAAUAUCUAAAACCGCAACGCUAACCGUAAGGAGGCAUGCGUCUAGGGUAAGAUCGGUGACUGGAGUUAAGUCGUAACAAGGUAUCCCUACGAGAACGUGGGGAUGGAUCACCUCCUUUCUUCGGAGUAAAUUAUUUAAUUUACGUACUAUAAACAAGUGUACAUUUUUAAUAAAAUCCAUAUGAUAAUAUGCCACGUUAUUAUUUUUAUUUUAUUUAAACAUUCAUAUGGUCGGAUUCUAUUUAGUUUUGAGAGAGUAUUCUCUCCCCAAUAAGCAAUUAUUGUGGAUGAUCGAUUUUUGAAAACUGAAUAUUAUCAUCAAAUCUUUCUAAUCAUUGAUAUUAAGUUAUCAAUGAAGAAAACUAUAUUUAAUAUAGUUAACAAUCAUAUAAAACAAUAACUUAAGGAAAUUUAUAAUAAGUUACUAAGAGCUUAUGGUGAAUGCCUUGGGACAAACAGGCGAUGAAGGACGUGCUAAUCUGCGAUAAGCAACGGGUAGCUGAUAAGAAGCGUUUAUCCGUUGAUCUCCGAAUGAGGAAACUCAAUAUAACGAGAGUUAUAUUAUUAUUAAGUGAAUUCAUAGCUUAAUAAAGCGAUACCUGGUGAAGUGAAACAUCUCAGUAGCCAGAGGAAAAGAAAACGAAGUGAUUCCCUCAGUAGCGGCGAGCGAAAGGGGAACAGGCCAAACCGAAUUUUUGAUUCGGGGUUGUAGGACUACAAUAUAGACUAAACAAGGAUAGUGGAAUUGGUUGGAAAGCCAAAUCAUAGAGGGUGAAAAUCCCGUACGCGAAAUCUUUGUUUUACUUAGUAGGAUCCUGAGUAGGGCGGGACACGUGAAAUCCUGUCUGAAUCCACCCAGACCAUUGGGUAAGCCUAAAUACUAGUUUGUCACCGAUAGCGCAUA
rnacentral:sRNA from 1 species